rnacentral:rRNA from 1 species
GAAGGUGGGGAUGACGUCAAGUCCUCAUGGCCCUUAUGGGUGGGGCUUCACACGUCAUACAAUGGCCGGUACAAAGGGUCGCCAACCCGCGAGGUGGAGCCAAUCCCUCAAAGCCGGUCGUAGUCCGGAUCGCAGUCUGCAACUCGACUCCGUGGAGUGGGAAUCGGUAGGA